UUGGAGAAUAAAUAUGAAUUUUAUUAAAAAUGAAUUAUUCUUUAAAAAGAGUGAGCAUGGUUGCGUAUUUUGUAUUAACACAUAUAGCCUUGGGCUAAAUUGAGUUGCUUGGUGAUUGCAUAUUUAGUUGAUUUUCUGUCUGGUCUGCUGGAGAGUGCACAGGAUCCUUCUCAAAUGAUGUUUGAAGCCUUUUAAUGGAUGAGUCGUGACGUGUUAAUGAUACACCCCAUAAUCCCUGAUAUCCAACUGAAGGGGCUACUCGUUUGUCUAGGCAAAAAUAUACACAAAGAAAGAUUAUUAGAUACAAUACUAAAGAUUAGUCAAUAUGUCUGCUGCUGAAUAUCUGUUUGUUUCAGUGUGCAUAAAUAUUUGUCUUAAAUCUAGUCACUUGUCAUUACAAGUUUUAAAGCUAAGGUAGUUCACUCUAUCAAUGCAACCCAUCCUAGAAACCCUAAAAACAAGACAUACCACAUGUCAAGACCAUUUUUUGCAUUUGUGUGACCAGGGUAACAAUUAUAAGUGGAGUCCUUUUUUAUUUUCUCCUUUGAAAUAGAGGUGGGGGUAUGGAUGGUAUCAUAAAUGGAUUUAUUUUGAUAUCAUAUUUGAGUGCCUAAUACUACCCUACAACACAAAAACAAACACGGUGUGCAGAUAUUUAUCAUGGCUGUCUGUGUUCAUCAGGGCUGCCAUCAGAAAUGUUGGGGCCCCUGACAUUGCUCAAGGUCUGGACCACCGGGGCCUGCCCCCGAGUCCACCCAAAAGGCCUGCCCCCGAGUCCACCUACAGGCCCGCCCCCAAAGGGUCUAACCUAAGUUGGCCCACGUAUGUGUGUGUGUGUGUGUACUUAGUGUGGUGUGUGUACUUGAUGUGGUAUGUAUGUCAUGAAUGCAGUGUGUAUAUUGGAUGCAGAUUGAACGUUUUGUGUAAUGUAUCUAAUGUUUGCAUGUAUUAGAUUUAGAAUGUGUGUUUGUGUAGUGGAGGUAGGUGUGUAUAGUGAAUGCAGAGUGUGUGUUUGUAUAGUGGAUGUAG